CAUACACAUGCCAUUACAGCACGAUUAAGAAUGGGCCACAAAGAACCCCAAAUUCCAAAUGAACUACGAGAAAGGACGGGAAAUGAAAUGUGAUAAACAGCACCGGCACGACCAGCAAUUGUAAGAAUGAAAGCAGCAAUAGUAUAACCUACCCAGACUGUGAUCCAUGCCUCCCACCAACUAAGACCGCUUUCAACAGCGGUACCGGCAAUCAUCCAAGUGUUAACGUUAACAGAGUCAGCAAGCCAGAAAGCGACAUAAUUCCAUGGUCCCCAUACUCGCUGACUCUUUGGUACUGGGUACAAAUCCUCAUUCGUAAGAAAACGUUCAGCCAGUGUAGUGCCCGGCUUAGCUUCAAUAACAAUAAAAUUUUUAAAAUUUCUCC